CAUAGAAUGCGUUGCCAGAAAACCAGAGUUCAGGAUUAAGUGCUUAAGAAAGUGAUGCAAUACUGAAAAGUGUGUAUAAGUGAAAAAUAAGAAAAGAGGAGGACCUAAGAAGCGAUACAAAGCGUCACAGGUCAAAAGAAGAAGUGAUCAGCCUCUUAUUAUUGCCGAUUUCCGACCCCAAAACUUGUCUCCUCCAUCUCACUAGUUAGAUUAAUUAUAGUUAUCGUUGAAAUGGUUAAUUACUGGUGUCUUACUUUUGCAAUAGAUGUGGGGAAACCGAAAAAUACGAUACUCUGAGUACGAUAAUCUGCCCAUAGGUGACCUGCCGCAGUGUUGUUGUGGCCGCGGACAAGAUUUUUCCCACAGCUGUUGUCAUCAUUCUGCUGUAGGCGUGGCGUGUCAUCUCAUGUAUAAGAACUGGAAGACGAGCAAGGUAGGAAGCGAGACAUGGCCGUGUUAAUAAAACCAAUCUCAUUAAUCGCAUGCCGUGAGUUAGAGGAAUUAAAUGCGCCGGCCGCUGGAAGGACAUUUGACAAAGGAGGAGGAGGAGAAUGAGGACCCCAAACCCUGUGUGUGAGGACGUCCGCUGAAGGGCUACGUCAAAUCAGUCUUUACACCAUAUAUUUAUGAGGGCCUCAUGAGGAAGAAUGUGGAACUAAGCUGAAAGGGAGACUGGAAGGUGGAAUGAACACAAUCUUCAGCUGUGUGGUAACUGGACGGUAAACAAGCAGCAGAUACAUGGAGGUGUGGUGAACUGUGGACCUUUCCUGCUGCAGAGCCCUCCAACACCUAUCUGUAACUAGCCUGGGUGGAGGACUGCUAUCGGUGUGGGGAAUGGUGGACCAUGUCUGCUGUGGAGCCCUCCAACACCUGUCUGUAGUGGCCUGGGGAAGGGAUGACCUGCACACAGUGGUGUAACACUCCUCCUGUCAGCCAAACUUCAGGAGCUGUCUGCCAAGAGAAAGGAAGAAUAUCACUAACUGAAAAUAACAUUUUGCUACUGCUCAGAGCAAACUUAUCUAGUUUUGUUAUCUCACCUAUCAAGUACUGAUGGCUUGUGUAUAAGAUUACACUGCAUUCAUUAAGCUGUAAACUUUCCUUGCUAUAUGUAUGCUAGACUUCAAAUACACUGGAGACACUCAUAA